CCUACGGGCGGCUGCAGUGAGGAAUAUUGGUCAAUGGACGAGAGUCUGAACCAGCCAAGUAGCGUGAAGGAUGACUGCCCUAUGGGUUGUAAACUUCUUUUAUAAAGGAAUAAAACGAGGCACGUGUGCCGUUUUGCAUGUACUUUAGGAAUAAGGAUCGGCUAACUCCGUGCCAGCAGCCGCGGUAAUACGGAGGAUCCGAGCGUUAUCCGGAUUUAUUGGGUUUAAAGGGAGCGUAGAUGGGUUGUUAAGUCAGUUGUGAAAGUUUGCGGCACAACCGUAAAAUUGCAAUUGAUACUGGCAGUCUUGAGGACAGUAGAGGUAGGCGGAAUUCGUGGUGUAGCGGUGAAAUGCUUAGAUAUCACGAAGAACCCCGAUUGCGAAGGCAGCAUACUAAACUGUGACUGACAUUGAUGCUCGAAAGUGUGGGUAUCAAACAGGAUUAGAUACACGAGUAGUC
rnacentral:rRNA from 1 species